rnacentral:rRNA from 1 species
UACGUAGGGUGCGAGCGUUGUCCGGAAUUAUUGGGCGUAAAGAGCUUGUAGGUGGCUCGUUGCGUCGGGAGUGAAAACCUGCGGCUUAACCGCAGGCCUGCUUCCGAUACGGGCGAGCUAGAGUUCGGCAGGGGAGACUGGAAUUCCUGGUGUAGCGGUGGAAUGCGCAGAUAUCAGGAGGAACACCGAUGGCGAAGGCAGCUCGCUGGGACGGUACUGACGCUGAGGAGCGAAAGCGUGGGGAGCGAACAGG